AAUUUUAUAGUAUAAAUUAAAAUAUAUUAAUUUGCAAAAUUAAAGAUGUAUAACCACUAAGAUUU
rnacentral:tRNA from 1 species